rnacentral:rRNA from 1 species
UACGGAGGAUGCAAGCGUUAUCCGGAUUCAUUGGGUUUAAAGGGUGCGCAGGCGGGGAUGUAAGUCAGUGGUGAAAAGCUGCCGCUUAACGGUAGUCUUGCCAUUGAUACUGCAUUUCUUGAGUAUGGUUAAGGUAGGCGGAAUGUGUAAUGUAGCGGUGAAAUGCUUAGAUAUUACACAGAACACCAAUUGCGUAGGCAGCUUACUGAGCCGACACUGACGCUGAGGCACGAAAGCGUGGGGAUCGAACAGGAUUA